rnacentral:rRNA from 1 species
CCUACGGGAGGCAGCAGUCGAGAAUCUUCGGCAAUGGACGCAAGUCUGACCGAGCGACGCCGCGUGCGGGAUGAAGGCCUUCGGGUUGUAAACCGCUGUCAGAGGGGAUGAAGUGUACGGGAGUUAUCUCCUGUAUUUGACAGAGCCUCAGAGGAAGUACGGGCUAAGUUCGUGCCAGCAGCCGCGGUAAUACGAACUGUGCGAACGUUAUUCGGAAUCACUGGGCUUAAAGGGUGCGUAGGCGGCUGCCUAAGUCAGGUGUGAAAUCUCUCGGCUCAACCGGGAAACUGCGCUUGAUACUGGGCGGCUCGAGUGAGGUAGGGGUGUGUGGAACUUCCGGUGGAGCGGUGAAAUGUGUAGAUAUCGGAAGGAACGCCAGCAGCGAAAGCGGCACACUGGGCCUUUUCUGACGCUGAGGCACGAAAGCUAGGGGAGCGAACGGGAUUAGAUACCCCGGUAGUCCUAGCCGUAAACACUGAACACUCGAGGAGGGGGCUUCGGCCUUCUUUCUCUUAGCGAAAGCGUUAAGUGUUCCGCCUGGGGAGUAUGGUCGCAAGGCUGAAACUAGAAGUAGUGCGNGNGAGNGCGACGACGACGACGAGGAGGAGGAG